GACGUAGGGCGCGAGCGUUGUCCGGAUUUAUUGGGCGUAAAGAGCUCGUAGGCGGCUUGUCGCGUCGUCCGUGAAAACCCACGGCUUAACUGUGGGCUUGCGGUCGAUACGGGCAGGCUAGAGUUCGGUAGGGGAGACUGGAAUUCCUGGUGUAGCGGUGAAAUGCGCAGAUAUCAGGAGGAACACCGGUGGCGAAGGCGGGUCUCUGGGCCGAUACUGACGCUGAGGAGCGAAAGCGUGGGGAGCGAACAGG
rnacentral:rRNA from 1 species